rnacentral:rRNA from 1 species
ACAGAGGGUGCGAGCGUUGUUCGGAAUUAUUGGGCGUAAAGGGCGCGUAGGCGGUGCGGUAAGUCACCUGUGAAAUCUCCUGGCUCAACUGGGAGCUUGCAGGCGAAACUGCCGUGCUGGAGUGUGGGAGAGGUGCGUGGAAUUCCUGGUGUAGCGGUGAAAUGCGUAGAUAUCAGGAGGAACACCAGUGGCGAAGGCGGUCCCCUGGGCCGGAACUGACGCUGAGGCGCGAAAGCGUGGGUAGCAAACGGGA